rnacentral:tRNA from 1 species
GGAUUGUGGCUCAGUGGUAGAGCUCUCAUCUAGCAUGGGCGAGGCCCUGGGUUUGAUCCUCAGCACCA